CCUCCUGGGCGCGCACAGCUCCAGCCCAGCGCUCCGCUCCGCUCCGCCGCCGCCACGCCGCUCUCCAAGCUUCACCAGGACCCCCGGCCUUGGCUACCGGCUCCUGGCUCUCCGCGCCCGGCCUCUCGGACCCACGACCUCGUCAUCUCCCAAGUCCAGCUUCGCAGGCAAAUCCCGACAAGCUUUGCAGAAAAAAACUGACAAUGAAAUUUCCGAAGUCCUUCUAUGUCGGCGCCAUGUUCGAGCGGAGCCAGAGCAACGGCUGACCCUCUCCUGAAGCGACAAGGCGCCUCUCGGCGACUGCUCUUCAUAAGUAACUUUUGUCCAUAGGGAAAAUCCCUAAAACGGGAGGCCAUGGUGGCAUCAGUAGAGUGUCACUCGUGGUCCCGUCUCUGGGACAAUGAGUUUGCAGAGCGAUUUGGAAGGGACCUGCCCGCACCUUUAGCACCACAGCUGUUUCGAAUGUGAAAUAAAAAAAGACUCGCACUA